rnacentral:rRNA from 1 species
GUCGUAACAAGGUUUCCGUAGGUGAACGUGCGGAAGCAUCAUUG